rnacentral:rRNA from 1 species
UGCAAGUCGAGCGGACGAUCCAAAAGCUUGCUUUUGAAUCGUUAGCGGCGGACGGGUGAGCAACACGUGGGCAACCUGCCCUGUAGACGGGGAUAACACCGAGAAAUCGGUGCUAAUACCGGAUAAUACGAAAGACCGCAUGGUCUUUCGUUGAAAGGCAGCGCAAGCUGUCGCUACAGGAUGGGCCCGCGGCGCAUUAGCUAGUUGGUGAGGUAACGGCUCACCAAGGCGACGAUGCGUAGCCGACCUGAGAGGGUGAUCGGCCACACUGGGACUGAGACACGGCCCAGACUCCUACGGGAGGCAGCAGUAGGGAAUCUUCCGCAAUGGACGAAAGUCUGACGGAGCAACGCCGCGUGAGCGAAGAAGGCCUUCGGGUCGUAAAGCUCUGUUGUUAGGGAAGAACAAGUACCGCAGUCACUGGCGGUACCUUGACGGUACCUAACGAGGAAGCCACGGCUAACUACGUGCCAGCAGCCGCGGUAAUACGUAGGUGGCAAGCGUUGUCCGGAAUUAUUGGGCGUAAAGCGCGCGCAGGCGGUUCCUUAAGUCUGAUGUGAAAGCCCACGGCUCAACCGUGGAGGGUCAUUGGAAACUGGGGGACUUGAGUGCAGAAGAGGAGAGCGGAAUUCCACGUGUAGCGGUGAAAUGCGUAGAGAUGUGGAGGAACACCAGUGGCGAAGGCGGCUCUCUGGUCUGUAACUGACGCUGA